GGAUGAACGCUGGCGGCGUGCCUAAUACAUGCAAGUCGAGCGAACAGACGAGGAGCUUGCUCCUCUGACGUUAGCGGCGGACGGGUGAGUAACACGUGGAUAACCUACCUAUAAGACUGGGAUAACUUCGGGAAACCGGAGCUAAUACCGGAUAAUAUAUUGAACCGCAUGGUUCAAUAGUGAAAGACGGUUUUGCUGUCACUUAUAGAUGGAUCCGCGCCGCAUUAGCUAGUUGGUAAGGUAACGGCUUACCAAGGCAACGAUGCGUAGCCGACCUGAGAGGGUGAUCGGCCACACUGGAACUGAGACACGGUCCAGACUCCUACGGGAGGCAGCAGUAGGGAAUCUUCCGCAAUGGGCGAAAGCCUGACGGAGCAACGCCGCGUGAGUGAUGAAGGUCUUCGGAUCGUAAAACUCUGUUAUUAGGGAAGAACAAAUGUGUAAGUAACUAUGCACGUCUUGACGGUACCUAAUCAGAAAGCCACGGCUAACUACGUGCCAGCAGCCGCGGUAAUACGUAGGUGGCAAGCGUUAUCCGGAAUUAUUGGGCGUAAAGCGCGCGUAGGCGGUUUUUUAAGUCUGAUGUGAAAGCCCACGGCUCAACCGUGGAGGGUCAUUGGAAACUGGAAAACUUGAGUGCAGAAGAGGAAAGUGGAAUUCCAUGUGUAGCGGUGAAAUGCGCAGAGAUAUGGAGGAACACCAGUGGCGAAGGCGACUUUCUGGUCUGUAACUGACGCUGAUGUGCGAAAGCGUGGGGAUCAAACAGGAUUAGAUACCCUGGUAGUCCACGCCGUAAACGAUGAGUGCUAAGUGUUAGGGGGUUUCCGCCCCUUAGUGCUGCAGCUAACGCAUUAAGCACUCCGCCUGGGGAGUACGACCGCAAGGUUGAAACUCAAAGGAAUUGACGGGGACCCGCACAAGCGGUGG
rnacentral:rRNA from 1 species